rnacentral:rRNA from 1 species
UACGGAGGAUGCGAGCGUUAUCCGGAUUUAUUGGGUUUAAAGGGUGCGCAGGCGGCACGGCAAGCCGGCGGUCAAAUCGCGGGGCUCAACCCCGCCCAGCCGUCGGAACUGCCGGGCUAGAGUGGGCGAGAAGUGCGCGGAAUGCGUGGUGUAGCGGUGAAAUGCAUAGAUAUCACGCAGAACUCCGAUUGCGAAGGCAGCGCACCGGCGCCCUACUGACGCUCGGGCACGAAAGCGUGGGUAUCGAACAGG